rnacentral:rRNA from 1 species
AUUGAACGCUGGCGGCAGGCCUAACACAUGCAAGUCGAGCGGGGGAAGGUAGCUUGCUACCGGACCUAGCGGCGGACGGGUGAGUAAUGCUUAGGAAUCUGCCUAUUAGUGGGGGACAACAUCUCGAAAGGGAUGCUAAUACCGCAUACGUCCUACGGGAGAAAGCAGGGGAUCUUCGGACCUUGCGCUAAUAGAUGAGCCUAAGUCGGAUUAGCUAGUUGGUGGGGUAAAGGCCUACCAAGGCGACGAUCUGUAGCGGGUCUGAGAGGAUGAUCCGCCACACUGGGACUGAGACACGGCCCAGACUCCUACGGGAGGCAGCAGUGGGGAAUAUUGGACAAUGGGGGGAACCCUGAUCCAGCCAUGCCGCGUGUGUGAAGAAGGCCUUAUGGUUGUAAAGCACUUUAAGCGAGGAGGAGGCUACUCUAGUUAAUACCUAGGGAUAGUGGACGUUACUCGCAGAAUAAGCACCGGCUAACUCUGUGCCAGCCGCCGCAGUGA